GUAUUGAUUACCAUCAGGACAUAAAGAUCAUUUUAACCAGUAUAACAAAAAGUGGAUCUAAAUCUGACUAACAACCCCAGCUUUAAGGUAUGAGUGUCUGCAGUAGGCUUAGGUUGUUAUUUUAAGAGUCUGACAACUUUACAGAAACGAUCCCUGCCAUAGACUGUGUAGUAAAUGGAUGUAGUAGAGACGUCACCCAUCAAUUUCUGAAGCUGAUCGUCGGUGGGAGCCAUAUUGGAAAUGUUGAGGUCAACAUAACUGCUGUCGAGCUAGUGUAAGGUAAAGAGGCGGGGUUUGAGUCUCCUCACUAACAGCUGCAGUGUUCCAGCCUGUCAAUCAAGUCUGCCGUGCCUCUCAUCAUGGAAAACUUGAAAAGUUUGAAUUCUAUGAAAACAUUUUAAUUGUAAAAUAAAUUAUGAUCUAUAAAAUGAUGUUGGAAGAAUAAAAGCAGCAGAUUUUAAGAAUGUCAAAGUACCAUGAAUAUUUAAACAUGAAUGCAGGCUGCACUGAUUAAAUGUUAUCUGAAAUAAUA